AUGUCUUGCAUGCCUGAGUGGUUUAAUAUCUUUCCUUCUUCAAAGCUCCAACAGGUCUUUUGUUUUUUUAUGGGCCCUGAGACUUUCUUCUUGCUGCUUUUCUUUCUCGCCCAAACCGGUUCCUCAAUCUCUGGCCAAGACAAGUUGUCAAACGUCUUGCUGGUUUUUUCUGCUUUGCAGUGCUGUUGGCGGAUUCUCUUUGGUUUGUUCGGCGCUUUACUCUCAUUUUCCUGCACUGCUCGGUGUCCUCUGUGUCGUGUCAUCUUAAUUGCUUAG